rnacentral:misc_RNA from 1 species
GUAGCCUGUACCGGCCGAUGCGGCUGGAUCACCUCCUUUCUAAGGAGCACCACGUGAAACACCUCCGUUGGUGAUGUGUGUGCCGUGAGGAACCCGUUGUGCUGUAGUGGCGCCGGGUUGGGUGCAUUAUGCAAGACAACACUGACGCCGCCGGGGGGUGGGGAAAAGCCCGGCCGGAAAAAGAAAUUGCAAAACACACUGUGGGGCCCGAAGCAAACAGGCCGCCGGCCUCUCCCUUUUGCGAACGGUGGCGGCUCUCCAAGGUGUCCUGGGGUUCUGGUUGGCGGCCUGGUUUUGUGGGGGGGUGGUGUGGUUGAAUUUGUGAUUGUGGUUUGCCAGCAUAAUA